GAUGAACGCUGGCGGCGUGCUUAACACAUGCAAGUCGAACGGAAAGGCUCCUGCUUGCAGGGGUACUCGAGUGGCGAACGGGUGAGUAACACGUGGGCGAUCUGCCCUGCACUUCGGGAUAAGCCUGGGAAACUGGGACUAAUACCGGAUAGGACCACAUUUUGGAUGGUGUGGUGGAAAGUUUUUCGGUGUGGGAUGAGCUCGCGGCCUAUCAGCUUGUUGGUGGGGUAAUGGCCUACCAAGGCGUCGACGGGUAGCCGGCCUGAGAGGGUGUACGGCCACAUUGGGACUGAGAUACGGCCCAGACUCCUACGGGAGGCAGCAGUGGGGAAUAUUGCACAAUGGGCGCAAGCCUGAUGCAGCGACGCCGCGUGGGGGAUGACGGCCUUCGGGUUGUAAACUCCUUUCGCUAGGGACGAAGCGCAAGUGACGGUACCUGGAGAAGAAGCACCGGCUAACUACGUG
rnacentral:rRNA from 1 species